rnacentral:rRNA from 1 species
GACGAACGCUGGCGGCGUGCUUAACACAUGCAAGUCGAGCGGUAAGGCCCUUUCGGGGGUACACGAGCGGCGAACGGGUGAGUAACACGUGGGUGACCUGCCCUCAGCUCUGGGAUAAGCCUGGGAAACCGGGUCUAAUACUGGAUAUGACUCCAUGACGCAUGUUGUGGGGUGAAAGCCUUGUGCGGCUGAGGAUGGGCCC